rnacentral:tRNA from 1 species
GCGGAAGUACUCAAGUUGGUGACGAGGCGCCCCUGCUAAGGGCGUAGGCCGGGAAACCGGUGCGAGAGUUCGAGUCUCUCCUUCCGCGCCA